AAAACGACUCUCGGCAACGGAUAUCUAGGCUCUCGCAUCGAUGAAGAACGUAGCGAAAUGCGAUACUUGGUGUGAAUUGCAGAAUCCCGCGAAUCAUCGAGUUUUUGAACGCAAGUUGCGCCCGAAGCCAUUCGGCCGAGGGCACGUCUGCCUGGGUGUCMCGC
rnacentral:rRNA from 1 species